rnacentral:rRNA from 1 species
AUGGAGCAGUUCCACCACGGCCACCACGUGCGGCUGCGGAGCCGCGAGCUCGGCACGUACCUGCACGCCGACGAAGACGGACAAGGCGUCUCCCUCCACCACCGCCGGGCGUCGAUGAACGCGGCUUGGGCAGUGCACUUGUACCAGCCCCCCCACGCGCGGGUGCCGUUCCUGCUCCUCCACAGCGCCGCCUACGGCCGGUACCUCGCCGCCACGGGCGCGCCGGCACCGCUAGGCCACCGUGGGCACCGCGUCGAGCAGCGCAGCUACAACCAUCCUGAGGCGGAAGCAGUAUUUUGGCUGGCCGUCCGGACGGAAUUCGAGGACGACGUCCUGCUCCAACACUUCAACGGCGGCAGCCUCCGCGCCAACGGGAAGUACCUCCCCUGGAACAACGGCGCCAGCGUCGGCUACAUCAACGGCAUCUACGACAUGAGCACGAUGAUGCACUGGGUCGUGGACUCGUGGAGCCCAUCCCCGCCAGGGAGACCAUGCCUCCCCUUCCACGUUCGACUAGGCUUACCCUCCCCACCGCCACCAUGUUGCUGUCGCGGGAGAUCGUAUACAUGUGGCGGGACAUCCACGGGGACCCCAUCACCGGCGGCUGGCACAUGUUCAGGGGGAGAUCCGUCUUCCGCCUGA